rnacentral:rRNA from 1 species
AGUGAACGCUGGCGGUAGGCCUAACACAUGCAAGUCGAACGGCAGCACUGUAAGAGCUUGCUCUUACGGGUGGCGAGUGGCGGACGGGUGAGGAAUACAUCGGAAUCUACUUUUUCGUGGGGGAUAACGUAGGGAAACUUACGCUAAUACCGCAUACGACCUACGGGUGAAAGCAGGGGAUCUUCGGACCUUGCGCGAUUGAAUGAGCCGAUGUCGGAUUAGCUAGUUGGGGGGGUAAAGGCCCACCAAGGGGACGAUCCGUAGCUGGUCUGAGAGGAUGAUCAGCCACACUGGAACGUGGACACGGUCCAGACUCCUACGGGAGGCAGCAGUGGGGAAUAUUAGACAAUGGGCGCAAGCCUGAUCCAGCCAUACCGCGUGGGUGAAGAAGGCCUUCGGGUUGUAAAGCCCUUUUGUUGGGAAAGAAAAGCAGCAGGUUAAUACCCCGCUGUUCUGACGGUACCCAAAGAAUAAGCACCGGCUAACUUCGUG